rnacentral:rRNA from 1 species
GACGAACGCUGGCGGCGUGCCUAAUACAUGCAAGUCGAACGCUUCUUUCCUCCCGAGUGCUUGCACUCAAUUGGAAAGAGGAGUGGCGGACGGGUGAGUAACACGUGGGUAACCUACCCAUCAGAGGGGGAUAACACUUGGAAACAGGUGCUAAUACCGCAUAACAGUUUAUGCCGCAUGGCAUAAGAGUGAAAGGCGCUUUCGGGUGUCGCUGAUGGAUGGACCCGCGGUGCAUUAGCUAGUUGGUGGGGUAACGGCCUACCAAGGCGACGAUGCGUAGCCGACCUGAGAGGGUGAUCGGCCACAUUGGGACUGAGACACGGCCCAG